AAACCAUUCUCCCCCCUUAGUACGGGCGACGGAAAAGGGAUACGAGGAGCUAUAGAGAAAGUACCGCAAGGGAAUGCUGAAAGAGAAAUGAAAUAACCCAGUAAAGCGCAAAAAAGCAGAGGUUCUUCCUCGUACCUUUUGCAUCAUGAUCUAGCCAGUAAGACUUAAGCAAAGAGCACUUUAGUUUAAGACCCCGAAACUAUGGUGAGCUACUCCGAGACAGCCUAUAAUAGGGCGAAUCCGUCUCUGUGGCAAAAGAGUGGAAAGAGCUCCGAGUAGUGGUGACAGACCUAUCGAACCUAGUUAUAGCUGGUUGCCUGAGAAAUGGAUAAGAGUUCAGCCUCAUGGCUUCUUCCCUUAGAACCUUGCCCUUCGGCCCAAGAAAAACAAAGGAAACCAUGGGAGUUAAUCAAAGGAGGCCCAGCUCCUUUGAUAAAAGACACAACUUUCCUAGGAGGGUACAGAUCAUAUUCCCCUCAAGGCUUGGUGUCCUGGUGGGCCUAAGAGCAGCCAUCCAUGUGAAAAGCGUUAAAGCUCAAACACGUCAGCCUCCCUGUAAUAAUGAUAAUUACAUCUCAACCCCCUUGAUCCUACCAGGCCGUUCCAUACCCCUAUGGAAGCGAUUAUGCUAGAAUGAGUAAUAAGAGGGCACGACCCUCUCCCCGCACACGUGUUCAUCGACCCGGACCCACCAUCGAACUUUAACGGCCCCAAUAAUAGAGGGAAGUGAUUAACAAAAGAGACAACAGGACAAGCACUCAGCCACUUAACCCACCGUUGACCCCACACUGGAGUGCCACUCGGGAAAGACCAAAAGAAGAAGAAGGAACUCGGCAAACACCUAAAGCCUCGCCUGUUUACCAAAAACACCGCCUCUUGCAAGAUUAACGAAUAAGAGGUCCCGCCUGCCCUGUGACCAGUGAGUUCAACGGCCGCGGUAUCCUGACCGUGCGAAGGUAGCGCAAUCAAUUGCUCCUUAAAUGGGGGCCUGUAUGAAUGGCGCAACGAGGGCUUAACUGUCUCCUUUUUCAGGUCAGUGAAAUUGAUCUCCCCGUGCAGAAGCGGGGCUAAAACCAUAAGACGAGAAGACCCUAUGGAGCUUUAGACACCAAGGCAGACCAGGUUUAUCACCCCCCUUUAAAGGGCAAAACUUUUUGGCCUCCUGCCCUAAUGUCUUCGGUUGGGGCGACCCCGGGGGAAAGAAAAGCCCCCGAGCAGAAAGAGAAUCUAAUUCUCCUAGCCAAGAGUCUCCACUCUAAUAAUCAGAACCUCUGACUUAACUGAUCCGGCAAUGCCGAUCAACGGACCAAGUUACCCUAGGGAUAACAGCGCAAUCCUCUUUUAGAGCCCAUAUCGACAAGGGGGUUUACGACCUCGAUGUUGGAUCAGGACAUCCUAAUGGCGCAGCCGCUAUUAAGGGUUCGUUUGUUCAACGAUUAAAGUCCUACGUGAUCUGAGUUCAGACCGGAGCAAUCCAGGUCGGUUUCUAUCUAUGCUAUGAUCUUUUCUAGUACGAAAGGACCGGAAAGAAAGGGCCCCUACUUCAAGCACGCCCCACCCCUAACUAAUGAAUACAACUAAAUUAGAGAAAGGGGC
rnacentral:rRNA from 1 species